rnacentral:rRNA from 1 species
UAGAGAUAGGGCUUUCCCUUCGGGGACAAAGUGACAGGUGGUGCAUGGUUGUCGUCAGCUCGUGUCGUGAGAUGUUGGGUUAAGUCCCGCAACGAGCGCAACCCCUAUUAUUAGUUGCCAGCAUUCAGUUGGGCACUCUAGUGAGACUGCCGGUGAUAAACCGGAGGAAGGUGGGGAUGACGUCAAAUCAUCAUGCCCCUUAUGACCUGGGCUACACACGUGCUACAAUGGAUGGUACAACGAGUCGCAAGGUCGCGAGGCCAAGCUAAUUCUUAAAGCCAUUCUCAGUUCGGAUUGCAGGCUGCAACUCGCCUGCAUGAAGCCGGAAUCGCUAGUAAUCGCGGAUCAGCACGCCGCGGUGAAUACGUUCCCGGGUCUUGUACACACCGCCCGUCACACCACGAGAGUUUGUAACACCCGAAGUCGGUGAGGUAACCCUUUUGGGAGCCAGCCGCCUAAGGUGGGACAGAUAAUUGGGGUGAAGUCGUAACAAGGUAACC